CGUACAUGAGUGAGAUAACAACACACACGACAAACAGUCACAGAUGAAGUUUUCACAUGGACAGCCUGACUCACCAGCUGAGCCUGCAUCGAUGGUCCGGCCACCCGAUCCCUGUGUGGGCUUAGACACGAGGACCAAGGGAUGGCAGCCAGAGUUCCUGAAACCCCAGCUACAGAAGAGGAGAUUCAAGAGAUGCGGAAGAUGUUGCCUGAGAUCAUACAACUGCUUCAUUAGCUGCUGCUUCUUGAAGAGAGAGAGGGAAAGGCUGACCACGCCCUGCUCUGUUCUCCUUGCCCUGCUCUGGAGGGAGCCCCCUGGUCGCCUCCACACUAAGUCUGGCCUCUUCUGCACGGCAUGGUGAUGAUAUUUACUUCUCCC
rnacentral:lncRNA from 1 species